rnacentral:rRNA from 1 species
GUCCUACGGGGGGCAGCAGUCGGGAAUAUUGCGCAAUGGAGGAAACUCUGACGCAGUGACGCCGCGUGCAGGAAGAAGGUUUUCGGAUCGUAAACUGCUUUAGACAGGGAAGAUAAAAGACAGUACCUGUAGAAUAAGCUCCGGCUAACUACGUGCCAGCAGCCGCGGUAAUACGUAGGGAGCAAGCGUUAUCCGGAUUUACUGGGUGUAAAGGGAGCGUAGACGGCAGCGCAAGUCUGGAGUGAAAUGCCGGGGCCCAACCCCGGAACUGCUCUGGAAACUGUGAAGCUGGAGUGCAGGAGUGG